GCCGGGUGUGGUGGCGCGCGCCUGUAAUCCCAGCUACUCAGGAGGCUGAGGCAGGAGAAUCGCUUGAACCUGGGAGGCGGAGGUUGCAGUGAGCUGAGAUUGUACCACUGCACUCCAGCCUGGGUGACAGAGCGAGACUCCGUCUAU
ensembl:misc_RNA Metazoa_SRP Metazoan signal recognition particle RNA